UGAUUACAAUGAGGGUCCACCCGUUCCCAUCCCGAACACGGUAGUUAAGCUCAUUUGUGCCAACGAUACUUGGAGGGCAGCCUCCUGGGAAAAUAGGUUUCGCCG
rnacentral:rRNA from 1 species